CUCAAACUGCUCUGCUCACUCUCCUCCUUCCCUCUGCCUUCUGAGACACAGGGAGGAUAAGUCACUUGGUCACAGCAAGUUAGAACCACUUGGACUCAAGAGGAGACUUCCAGGCUGGAAGCCCUUACACUUCACCCCUGUGACAGAAGAUGAUGUGAUGACAAAGCAGAACAGAAAGAAACUGGAAGAUGCUACGCUGCUCCCUUUGGAGAUGGAAGACAGAGUCAUGGGCCAGGACAUGCAGGAAAAGGCGAGGAAACAUUCUCCCCUGGAGCCUCUCAAAGGAACCAGCACCUUGACUCUAGCCCAGGGAAACUGACUUUGGAUUUCUGGCCUCUAGAACUGAAAGAGAACACAUUGGUGUUGAGCUAAGCCACUGCAUUUAUGGUGGUUUGUUACAGCAGCCACAGGAAAUGAAUGCAAUACUGAAUCAGUUCAUCCCUGACCAAUGGCUCAAUAGCUGUGGUUCAGGACAGCUGACACCUGGCAGGCGCUUCACCAAGCCCUGGGCCAACUGCAACCCAUCACUGGGGACACCUGGGGCCGGGAGCACAGAGAAGGAUCAGGGAAGACCCCCUGAGCUUGAGCACACUUCAGCAUAGGCUGGGAGGAAAGGGCAAGAAAUGGUGCCAAACAAGGAGCCAGCGAGUGCAGACGCCAGGAGGUGACAGAAAGCUCAGUCAUCUGAAGAACUGAAAUGAUUCAGCGUGGCCAGACUUUGAGGGAGAAACGGUAGAAGCCCCGUGGUGUGGUGGGUCGGAGGGUGGGCUCCGUGGGUGCCUGGGCGUGAGGCCGUGCCUUGCUGUCUCCCGAGUGUGUGAUUUGGGCAAGUAACUUGACCUCUCUGUGCCUAGUUUCCUCACCUGCCUGAUGGUAUUUUAUGUGUCUGUUUAUCUUCAUUUAUUUAAAAAGUUUUAUAAUUUUUAUACAAAUUUUAAAGGCUACUUUCCAUUUACAGUUACUACAAAAUAUUGGCUUUAUUCCCUGCAUUAUACAGUAUAUCCCUGAGCCCAUUUUACUGUCGGUCAUUUCUACAGCGUCCCCCACCCGCAACCUGAUGGUGUUUUCCUCACUGGGUUCUGUGAGGGGUAAGUGCAUCUACAGCAGUUGGAACAGUGUCUGACAGAGCAACCGUAAGUCUGUCAUUGACGCCCACCCCUAUCAACAGCAAGGUGCCUUCUUUCUCUUUUAUUGGGAAGCAGCACUGGAUGAAGAUUUUCUGGAUACUGACGGUGGUGAUGAUGAACAUGAUGCUUCCUGAUCACCUGCUGUGCUCAGCCCUCAUUACCUACCCGAUUUUCCUCAGUUUCCCUACUUGUAAAAUGGGGCUGAUAAUAACACUUUGAGCAUCAAGCUCAAAGUGUUCUUGAGAAGACUAAAAAAUUAACCCCCAGGGCUUCCCUGGUGGGUCAGUGGUGAAGAAUCUGCCUGCCAAAGCAGGGGACACAGGUUUGAUCCCUGAUCCGGGAAGAUCCCACAUGGAGGAGCUGCUACACCCGUCAGCCACAACUAUUGAGCCUGUGCUCCAGAGCCUGGAAGCUCCAACUACUGAGCCUAUGUGCAGCAACUACUGAAACCCACACACCCAGAGCCUGUGCUCUGCAGCAAGAGAAACCACCACACUGAGAAGCUACUGCAAAGAGAAGUCCGCGCACUGCAACCAGAGAGUAGCCCCCAGCUCUCCGCAGAUAGAGGAAAGCCCAGGCAGCAACAAAGACCGAACACAGCCCCCCACCGAAAAAAGUAUUCGUAGUGAUAAGGAUGGUAUUAAAAACAAAAAACAAAAAAACCCUCCCAGACAUGAUGCUUAGCUCAGUACCUGGCACUAGGAAGUGGCCAAGUACUACAGCUGUAGGAUCAGAGAGAAAAUCACAAUCACGUAGCCCAUUGAGUGGCUCCAGUAAAGAAUGGCUUUCAUGAACACUGCUCUGCCUGUUCUGAGUGCUACCUUAGCCAGUGGGGUGUGGACACUGGUGUAAAAUUACAACUGAGGAGGCCCCCACCCUAGCGGAGAGGUGCAUCUGGUGAGAAUGGAAGUUCACUUUGUUCCUACCUCUGCACGUCCCCUCACUCCGGAACCGGGUGACCUUCUUGAGAAGCCGGACAUCUCCCGCCUAGCUUCCUUUCACCGAGGCGGUGAGCACAGAACGCGGGGACCCCAGAGGACUUGGGAGUUCGCGAGCCGCAAUGCCCGCUUCGAGCGGCAGGGG